rnacentral:rRNA from 2 species
CUAUACAUGCAAGUCGAGCGGACGGAUGGGAGCUUGCUCCCUGAAGUCAGCGGCGGACGGGUGAGUAACACGUGGGCAACCUGCCUGUAAGACUGGGAUAACUCCGGGAAACCGGGGCUAAUACCGGAUAACUCUUUUCCUCACAUGAGGAAAAGCUGAAAGAUGGUUUCGGCUAUCACUUACAGAUGGGCCCGCGGCGCAUUAGCUAGUUGGUGAGGUAACGGCUCACCAAGGCCACGAUGCGUAGCCGACCUGAGAGGGUGAUCGGCCACACUGGGACUGAGACACGGCCCAGACUCCUACGGGAGGCAGCAGUAGGGAAUCUUCCGCAAUGGACGAAAGUCUGACGGAGCAACGCCGCGUGAGUGAUGAAGGUUUUCGGAUCGUAAAACUCUGUUGUCAGGGAAGAACAAGUACCGGAGUAACUGCCGGUACCUUGACGGUACCUGACCAGAAAGCCACGGCUAACUACGUGCCAGCAGCCGCGGUAAUACGUAGGUGGCAAGCGUUGUCCGGAAUUAUUGGGCGUAAAGCGCGCGCAGGCGGUUCCUUAAGUCUGAUGUGAAAGCCCCCGGCUCAACCGGGGAGGGUCAUUGGAAACUGGGGAACUUGAGUGCAGAAGAGAAGAGUGGAAUUCCACGUGUAGCGGUGAAAUGCGUAGAGAUGUGGAGGAACACCAGUGGCGAACGCGACUCUUUGGUCUGUAAC